rnacentral:rRNA from 1 species
GUGGGGAAUAUUCCGCAAUGGACGAAAGUCUGACGGAGCAACGCCGCGUGAGUGAUGAAGGUUUUCGGACUGUAAAGCUCUGUUGUUUAGGACGAAAGUGCCUGUUGCGAAUAGUUACAGGUAUUGACGGUACUGAACGAGGAAGCCACGGCUAACUACGUGCCAGCAGCCGCGGUAAUACGUAGGUGGCAAGCGUUGUCCGGAAUUAUUGGGCGUAAAGAGCAUGUAGGCGGGAAUCUACGUCUGUUGUGAAAAUGCGGGGCUCAACCCCGUAUUGCGAUGGAAACUGGGUUUCUUGAGUGCAGGAGAGGAAAGGGGAAUUCCCAGUGUAGCGGUGAAAGGCGUAGAUAUUGGGAGGAACACCAGUGGCGAAGGCGCCUUUCUGGACUGUGUCUGACGCUGAGAUGCGAAAGCCAGGGUAGCGAACGGGAUUAGAUACCCCGGUAGUCC